AGAGUUUGAUCCUGGCUCAGAAUCAACGCUGGCGGCGCGCUUAACACAUGCAAGUCGAACGAGAAAGUGGAGCAAUCCAUGAGUAAAGUGGCGUACGGGUGAGUAACACGUGGGUAAUCUACCUUUUGGUGGGGAAUAACCCUGGGAAACCGGGGCUAAUACCGCAUAAUCUCGCGAGAGGAAAGGAGCAAUUCGCCGAAAGAGGAGCCCGCGGCUGAUUAGCUAGUUGGUGAGGUAAUGGCUCACCAAGGCUUUGAUCGGUAGCCGGCCUGAGAGGGCACACGGCCACACUGGCACUGAAACACGGGCCAGACUCCUACGGGAGGCAGCAGUGGGGAAUCUUGCACAAUGGGGGCAACCCUGAUGCAGCGACGCCGCGUGAGUGAUGAAGCCCUUCGGGGUGUAAAGCUCUUUCGGCAGGGACGAUAAUGACGGUACCUGAAGAAGAAGCUGCGGCUAACUACGUGCCAGCAGCCGCGGUAAUACGUAGGCAGCGAGCGUUGUUCGGAGUUACUGGGCGUAAAGAGUGCGUAGGCGGUUUUCUAAGUUUGGUGUGAAAUCUCCCGGCUUAACUGGGAGGGUGCGCCGAAGACUGGAAGGCUUGAGUAUGGGAGAGGUAAGCGGAAUUCCUGGUGUAGCGGUGAAAUGCGUAGAUAUCAGGAGGAACACCUGCGGUGUAGACGGCUUACUGGACCAUCACUGACGCUGAGGCACGAAAGCGU
rnacentral:rRNA from 1 species